GGUUUUUGUUAGUAGUGGUGGGGUUUUUUGUUGUUUUUUUGUUGUUGUUGCUGUUUUUUCAGUCUUUGAGUUUUACAGCUUUACUGAAACGGGUAGCUUUGGUAUAGAAUUAAAAAAGAAAAAGUAAUGGACAUUUUUUGUUUCAGGGAAAAUUUCAGAACAUGAAACACUUGUUAAAAGUCAUCAAACUGCUUCUAGUAGCUAGUUCCAGGUCAGCACCAUUAGUGAACAAAACAAAGUAAAUUUAUGUUCCUGAAGCUGGGAACCCUCUCCUGCCAACCUAUCAGGAAGAGUUCAGUUAUGGUUUGACUGCCAAACAUAAAGUCUUGGUCCUAUAAAAACUUCAUGUAUCCUUUUAGCCAUGAGGUAUUUGGAGUGGAAUAGCCUUGCUGUCAGCAGCCAGCCUUUGAAGACAGAGAAGGAGAGUAGUAUUUUCUCUAUUAGAGUCAAAGCCCAGAAGUUUCUGUAGGAGCC
ensembl:lncRNA